rnacentral:rRNA from 1 species
UACGGAGGGGGCUAGCGUUGUUCGGAAUUACUGGGCGUAAAGCGCACGUAGGCGGCUUUGUAAGUUAGAGGUGAAAGCCCGGGGCUCAACUCCGGAAUUGCCUUUAAGACUGCAUCGCUAGAACACGGGAGAGGUAAGCGGAAUUCCGAGUGUAGAGGUGAAAUUCGUAGAUAUUCGGAAGAACACCAGUGGCGAAGGCGGCUUACUGGACCGUUGUUGACGCUGAGGUGCGAAAGCGUGGGGAG